UGGCGACCGGCGCACGGGUGAGUAACACGUAUCCAACCUGCCUCAUACUCGGGGAUAGCCUUUCGAAAGAAAGAUUAAUAUCCGAUGUCAUAGUCCUACCGCAUGAUGGGAUUAUUAAAGAAUUUCGGUAUGGGAUGGGGAUGCGUUCCAUUAGUUAGUUGGCGGGGUAACGGCCCACCAAGACAACGAUGGAUAGGGGUUCUGAGAGGAAGGUCCCCCACAUUGGAACUGAGACACGGUCCAAACUCCUACGGGAGGCAGCAG
rnacentral:rRNA from 1 species